GAAGGCCGUGUCACGGUAGCCACCUUCUCGCCCCCUCAGCGCCCUGCGCCGCAGCCCCUGCCAAGCGGGUGUCCCUGUGGACCCGGACCUGGCGGGCCCCCUGACUGGGGUACCACUGGGGGCCGGGCCCUAACCCAAGCUUAGGGUCGCGCCGGGGCACUUCCGGCCACCCGCGUGACCCUCGCCGCGUCGCCUGCCGCGCUACCAACCCGCCACCGCCGCCACCGCCGGGUCGCCAUGGCGACGCCGCGGCACCGAGGGCGGCGCGGCUCGCAGAACCUGCAGAGCAGCCGGGGCGCGGCGCGGGGAGCUCGUGGGCCGGUGGGCGGCGCGGCCGGGACAAGCUCGGGGCCGGGAGCCUGGCCAGCUAUCGCAUCUGGCUCUUACCUCACCUGCUCUCCCCGGCCCGGGGGCCAUGGAACAGGGCCCGAGGUUAAAGAGCUCGUCCUUCUCCUUCCUGAGCGGUCAACCUUGGGUCCCGGGUCUACCUGUGUGCCGAGUCUCUUCUGAAGUUAGAAUGGAGAGGCAAGUGAUCCCAGGUUUAUCUAUGGGCCUUCGGCUAAUAUUUUGCCAUGUUCUACAGCUAGGGCAGAAGUACGGAAGAACAUAGGGAGAAUGGAUCAAUCAGCGUUUGCCACGACUGGUCUUUUGAAACCUGAAACCGAGACUGCCAGCUACUUUGCCUCCCUCCACCUAGCCUCUUUUUCCUGUAGGAGGGUCUUAGGUUGACAUGUCUAGAUAUUAGAUCCCUUUCUUGCUCUCUUCUUAACAUCCUCAGCUUUUUGCGUGAGAAUGAGAGUUUCUCAUUUGGGAAAUCCUGACUUGUUGGGUUGGCCUUGGUGGGCCAUGAACUGGGGCUGCAGAACUGAGCUAAGGGAUCUGCUGCUGCCUUUGACACCUGCAUGAUGGCAGGGCCACCUCCCGUCUCUGCCUGCCCUUUCUCCCAGGGCACCACAGAGACCCAGGUCUUCAGAGGCUGGCACCCCUUCCAAGUCCUUCUCCCUGCUGGUUGCUCCUCUGCUCUCAUUUAUUCUAGCCUGGUGGUCUGAGGGUUUUGGAUUAAAUCAAGUUCCAUCUUAGGACGCCUGGAUUCUGUUCCUUACUUUUCAGAGAGAAUGAAAAACAAAACAAAACAAAACUUUUCCUCCUUAUCGUAGAUACCUUGAUUUCUCUUGUGAAAUUGGAUUGACGCAGAAAAUACAAGUAACUUGUACGUGUCAAAGUGAGCCCCAUAGAGAGAAAGGGAUGCUACAACCCCGCCCUCACGUAAGGCCCUCACGUAAGAGGAGGCUCCUGGACCAGGAAGGAGGUGGAACCACCCUGCUUGUCCUACUGCUUCCCUGCUGUGCCACCUUCCUUCGCAGGCAGAGCUUGGGCUUCUGUUAAAAUGAGUGGUUCAGCAGCAGUAGAAGGCAUUGGCGGAGGAAUCCACCCCAGAUCCAGGGGGUUCUGCCCAGUAGAUGGCAGACAGAAGGGAGUGUGGAUUUAUUAGAAG
rnacentral:lncRNA from 1 species